CUUUAACAAUCUGGAACAAGCUGAAAUUUGAAACGAUGCGGCUAAACAUAUCUCUCCGUGUAGUACUGAGAUGUGAUUUGGCUGUAUCAGAGUCUCUCAAAUAAUCGCAGCGCGAAUGUGACUUGAUGUAUCAAAAAGACACCUUCGG
rfam:Brenneria goodwinii strain OBR1 genome assembly, contig: Contig